rnacentral:rRNA from 1 species
AUUGAACGCUGGCGGCAGGCCUAACACAUGCAAGUCGAGCGGCAGCGGAAAGUAGCUUGCUACUUUGCCGGCGAGCGGCGGACGGGUGAGUAAUGUCUGGGAAACUGCCUGAUGGAGGGGGAUAACUACUGGAAACGGUAGCUAAUACCGCAUGACCUCGAAAGAGCAAAGUGGGGGAUCUUCGGACCUCACGCCAUCGGAUGUGCCCAGAUGGGAUUAGCUAGUAGGUGAGGUAAUGGCUCACCUAGGCGACGAUCCCUAGCUGGUCUGAGAGGAUGACCAGCCACACUGGAACUGAGACACGGUCCAGACUCCUACGGGAGGCAGCAGUGGGGAAUAUUGCACAAUGGGCGCAAGCCUGAUGCAGCCAUGCCGCGUGUGUGAAGAAGGCCUUAGGGUUGUAAAGCACUUUCAGCGAGGAGGAAGGCAUCAUACUUAAUACGUGUGGUGAUUGACGUUACUCGCAGAAGAAGCACCGGCUAACUCCGUGCCAGCAGCCGCGGUAAUACGGAGGGUGCAAGCGUUAAUCGGAAUUACUGGGCGUAAAGCGCACGCAGGCGGUUUGUUAAGUCAGAUGUGAAAUCCCCGCGCUUAACGUGGGAACUGCAUUUGAAACUGGCAAGCUAGAGUCUUGUAGAGGGGGGUAGAAUUCCAGGUGUAGCGGUGAAAUACGUAGAGAUCUGGAGGAAUACCGGUGGCGAAGGCGGCCCCCUGGACAAAGACUGACGCUCAGGUGCGAAAGCGUGGGGAGCAAACAGG